rnacentral:rRNA from 1 species
GACAGAGGGUGCAAACGUUGUUCGGAUUUACUGGGCGUAAAGCGCGUGUAGGCGGCUUUGCAAGUCGGAUGUGAAAGCCCACGGCUCAACCGUGGAAGUGCAUCCGAAAACUGCAUGGCUGGAGUCUCGGAGAGGAAGGUGGAAUGCUUGGUGUAGAGGUGAAAUUCGUAGAUAUCAAGCAGAACACCUGCGGCGAAGGCGGCCUUCUGGACGAUGACUGACGCUGAGACGCGAAAGCGUGGGGAGCAAACAGG